rnacentral:lncRNA from 1 species
UGGCUCUGCAGCUCAGUAAAUGUGCCUGCGGCGCCUGGUGGGUCCCCCUGCGUCUUCGUUAGUUCCUUUUCCUUCUCUCAGACCUUUGGCUGGAAGCUGGUGGGGCUGAAAGGUGAAGGCUGCCACCUAGAGGUGAACUCUGGCACCUGCCAAAGCCUGCGAGGCGUCUUAUCUUCUCAUCAAGACUCACAGAGAGAACGUAACAGGAUUACUGCUGUGGCUGGAAGAGGCCAAUUCUGCAGCACCCACCGGUUUGCAUGAAGUUUCAAAACAGCUGCAGACAUCCAAAGCACUGGUUGCGGAAGCAUCAGAAAGGUGAAGCCACCCGCCUAAGACCGAAGAGCUAGAAGCAAAAGAGCCAAAUUUCAAAACUGCAAAGUGUUCCUGACCUCUGGGCUGUCCUGCUUCCUGGAAAUUGCUUGGGCAGUGCGCUCCAUCUUCCUGGGGCAUUUAACCCACAAGUUUGCUAGCAGCCAUGUUUUCAAGCUGCAACAACUACUUCUUGGAUGGUGAGAAUUGGGAGAGAUGGCAGAAGGCCUGGGGAAGAGUGGGGAUGCUGGGAAAGCCUCCUGGUGAGAAAGCUCAGGCCACAGCUGGGCCAGGGACAUCCACAGCAGUCUCCAGGCUCUGACACCCCCUCCCCAACCCUGACUCCCUCCCAGGGGAGAGAAUAACUUGGCUCCAAAGCUGAGGCCAGAAUAUAAGCCAGAGACCUGCUGACCUGACCCCCCCACCCUGGAAUCUACUGAAUCUGGGGCCAGGAGCAAGGAAGGGCUGACCCCAAACUGAACAAAUCAAAAAGCCAAGUUCCCCUCUGAGCCCUGCAAUUUUUUUUUCUUUUGGACCAAAUAAGGAAGGAGCACCUGUUACUUUAUAAUCAUACUGUAGGACAGCCUCGAGUUGAAAGCCAUGGGAUCUGGAGUCUUGAAAACGCGGUUCAAGCUCCUAUCUUUUCUAUUUCCAAACUCAGUGUCCUAGAGCAACUCACUCACUUUCCCCAAGCUUCAGUUUUUCUAUCUAUGAAAUAGACAAUGAUACUCCUGUUAAGAGGGCGCUUGUAAGGAUUUGGGGGACCAGAGGUUAAAUUCGCUUCAUUUUAGUUCACCUACGUUACUUAUGUUUUGUUACAUGUCUUAAGUUAUGGUUUUAAUAAUCCCCCCACUCAAAAAUAAAC